GAUCCUGCCAGUAGUCAUAUGCUUGUCUCAAAGAUUAAGCCAUGCAUGUCUCAGUACAAACUAAAUUAAAGUGAAACCGCGAAAGGCUCAUUAAAUCAGUUAUGGUUCCUUAGAUCGUACCCACAUUUACUUGGAUAACUGUGGUAAUUCUAGAGCUAAUACAUGCAAACAGAGCUCCAACCGGAGACGGAAGGAGUGCUUUUAUUAGAUCAAAACCAAUCGGCGGCAGUAGCGUUUCGGCGUUAUUGUUCGUCGCCCUGUUUGGUGAAUCUGAAUAACUUUUUGCUGAUCGCACGGUCUCGCACCGGCGACGCAUCUUUCAAAUGUCUGCCUUAUCAACUGUCGAUGGUAGGUUCUGCGCCUACCAUGGUUGUAACGGGUAACGGGGAAUCAGGGUUCGAUUCCGGAGAGGGAGCCUGAGAAACGGCUACCACAUCCAAGGAAGGCAGCAGGCGCGCAAAUUACCCACUCCCGGCACGGGGAGGUAGUGACGAAAAAUAACGAUACGGGACUCAUCCGAGGCCCCGUAAUCGGAAUGAGUACACUUUAAAUCCUUUAACAAUUAGCAAUUGGAGGGCAAGUCUGGUGCCAGCAGCCGCGGUAAUUCCAGCUCCAAUAGCGUAUAU
rnacentral:rRNA from 3 species